GUGGGGAAUCUUGCGCAAUGGGCGAAAGCCUGACGCAGCCAUGCCGCGUGAAUGAUGAAGGUCUUAGGAUUGUAAAAUUCUUUCACCGGGGACGAUAAUGACGGUACCCGGAGAAGAAGCCCCGGCUAACUUCGUGCCAGCAGCCGCGGUAAUACGAAGGGGGCUAGCGUUGCUCGGAAUUAUUGGGCGUAAAGGGCGCGUAGGCGGAUCGUUAAGUCAGGGGUGAAAUCCCAGAGCUCAACUCUGGAACUGCCCUUGAUACUGGCGAUCUUGAGUGUGAGAGAGGUAUGUGGAACUCCGAGUGUAGAGGUGAAAUUCGUAGAUAUUCGGAAGAACACCAGUGGCGAAGGCGACAUACUGGCUCAUUACUGACGCUGAGGCGCGAAAGCGUGGGGAGCAAACAGGAUUAGAAACCCGUGUAGUCC
rnacentral:rRNA from 1 species